ACAGCAGAGGAAUUUCAGAUCAAAUUGAGCUUUUUGUACCCAUAUUUUAGCCAGCCUACUUGGCUUCUCAAGGAAGUCGGAAACUACUAAAAUACAAAGAUUCAACUUCUAGAACUUCAACACACUGAAUACAGGAAGUAGCAAUGUCACCUGUAGUUCCCACUCAGUACGGCCCUGCAGUCUGUGAGCAAGAAGCGAUCCAUCAUCUGACCUUUGAAGGAUUUCCCUGACCGGCAGUGAUAAGUGAUGCCAGACACAGUUCUCACACCCUGUCAUGAUCCUGCCGCUCCAGCACGAGCUGUGCGGGUGCCCGCGCAGGUGCGCUGAUUGGGAGGUGCACACCUGCGCCUCAUGCAGCCUGAUUAUGCUGUGGAUUUAUAUGACCGCGAUGACGACUGGCCGGCGCCAGUUCGUUGAGCUUUAUGCCCCGUUCCAGCACUCUCGUAUCCCCGUUCGAACCUGUGUGUACCAACCUUCGUCCGUUCUCAGACCAACCUUGUAAGCCUGACUCCUUGACACUUCUGCCUGCGUUGUUUCCCCGUGUACCGACUCCUGUCUGCCCGCUCACCUGCUCUCUUCGCCCGACGUCCCAACUACCGCUGCUGCACCUAACUGCCUGCUCGAUCCCCGACCUCGGCAUAUAAUAAACAUUUCUCCCUGAACUACCUUUCAUCGUCCGAGUCCUGCAUUUGGGUCCUACUCUCGUUCCAAUGGGACGUGACACAGCCAUAACGGCCCUUUGAGGGAAACCGCAAGUAAAAUGUGGCCUGCGACAAAAAUUAUUUUGACACCCCUGGUAUAGAACAUAAUAAUUCAAGUACAUCCUUGUAGAAAAGUAAAUGAAAAAUUUUUCAUUUCAAAAUUUAGAAAUAAAUCAGACUCAGCCUUUGUCCUCAGAAAUUGCACCACAACAAAUAUUAAACAUUUGGAGUAGACAGUAGGUAGAGUCAUUAAUCCACAGAAAGAAAGAGGCCUAAAAAACAUCUUCAACCAAGCUAAAUUUGAAUGAAUUAAAUAUUUUUUUGUAAAAGACAAUGUAUGUACUUGAAGGCAUUUGGGCUUUGUCACAGUUUUUAAAUCAGUUGUCAAGACAUUUUAACAUCACUGUUCUUUUGUAAUCUUUAUUUUAAUUUACUGUAUGAAUGUUGUCACGUUAUGUACUGUCGAAUUUCUGCUGCCUCUUGUCUUUUGAAAAUGAGAUUUUUAAUAUCUCAAUAAGCUUUUACCUGUUUGAAUAAAGGAAGAAUAAAAUGUAAAAUAAAGCCCACCCUUGAGAUGCUGGACUCUGAUGGGAUACCUUUACUUGUCAAUCCAAUCACACGAAAUUAGUUCACUGAAGUCAACUACUGCCUGAAUAUUGCCUCUGUGUUCAUGGUUUAUAAACAGUUAACUUUCCCAAAUGUGUGU